rnacentral:rRNA from 1 species
ACGCACGCUGGCGGCGUGCUUAACCCAUGCAAGUCGAACGGAAAGGCCCUGCUUUUGUGGGGUGCUCGAGUGGCGAACGGGUGAGUAACACGUGAGUAACCUGCCCUUGACUUUGGGAUAACUUCAGGAAACUGGGGCUAAUACCGGAUAGGAGCUCCUGCUGCAUGGUGGGGGUUGGAAAGUUUCGGCGGUUGGGGAUGGACUCGCGGCUUAUCAGCUUGUUGGUGGGGUAGUGGCUUACCAAGGCUUUGACGGGUAGCCGGCCUGAGAGGGUGACCGGCCACAUUGGGACUGAGAUACGGCCCAGACUCCUACGGGAGGCAGCAGUGGGGAAUAUUGCACAAUGGGCGGAAGCCUGAUGCAGCAACGCCGCGUGCGGGAUGACGGCCUUCGGGUUGUAAACCGCUUUCGCCUGUGACGAAGCGUGGGUGACGGUAAUGGGUAAAGAAGCACCGGCUAACUACGUG